GGAUAACGUCUGGGAACGGACGCUAAUACCGCAUAAUACUAUUUGAGGGCAUCCUUGGAUAGUCAAAGGAGAAAUCCGAUGGAAGAUGGACUCGCGGCUGAUUAGAUAGUUGGCGGGGUAGAGGCCCACCAAGUCGACGAUCAGUAGCCGGACUGAGAGGUUGAACGGCCACAUUGGGACUGAGACACGGCCCAGACUCCUACGGGAGGCAGCAGUGGGGGAUAUUGCACAAUGGGGGAAACCCUGAUGCAGCGACGCCGCGUGAGGGAAGACGGUUUUCGGAUUGUAAACCUCUGUCUUUGGGGACGAAUUGAGACGGUACCCAAGGAGGAAGCUCCGGCUAACUACGUGCCAGCAGCCGCGGUAAUACGUAGGGAGCAAGCGUUGUCCGGAAUUACUGGGUGUAAAGGGAGCGUAGGCGGGAUAGUAAGUUGAUUGUUAAAACUAUCGGCUCAACUGGUAGAUGCGAUCAAAACUGCAAUUCUUGAGUGAAGUAGAGGCAGGCGGAAUUCCUAGUGUAGCGGUGAAAUGCGUAGAUAUUAGGAGGAACACCAGUGGCGAAGGCGGCCUGCUGGGCUUUAACUGACGCUGAGGCUCGAAAGUGUGGGUAGCAAACAGGAUUAGAUACCCUGGUAGUCCACACUGUAAACGAUGAUUACUAGGUGUGGGUGGACUGACCCCAUCCGUGCCGCAG
rnacentral:rRNA from 1 species